UACGUAGGGUGCAAGCGUUAAUCGGAAUUACUGGGCGUAAAGCGUGCGCAGGCGGUUUUGUAAGUUUGUCGUGAAAUCCCCGGGCUCAACCUGGGAAUUGCGAUGAAGACUGCAAGGCUAGAAUCUGGCAGAGGGGGGUAGAAUUCCACGUGUAGCAGUGAAAUGCGUAGAGAUGUGGAGGAACACCGAUGGCGAAGGCAGCCCCCUGGGUCAAGAUUGACGCUCAUGCACGAAAGCGUGGGGAGCAACAGG
rnacentral:rRNA from 1 species